AUGUGGGCAUCCCCCAGAGCCUGCCCACACCGCUGGGGAGCAUCUGCCAUGCAAGAUGAGAAAGUUCUCCUCACUAUUGCAGGAAACUGCUUUCCAUCUCGGUCCUUCUGCUUCCGCAGGAGGAACUUGUGGUGCUCGGAAGGCGCUGCAGAGAGACGGCGGUGCCGUGCCGUGAGCCCUCGUCGGGACACUCCGGUACAGGAGGUGACAGAACCUCACAGACAGCCUUUUUACCAAGACUUCCAACAACAUUAUCCUUUACUGCAAACCCUAUCAGGGUUUGUUGUGGAACACAUCAGAGAACAUUGCACAAUCCCUGAAGAGAUGUCAACUAUAAGGAUCCAGGGAUUAACAACUCCAGGUUGCAUUUUCAAUCCUGAAACAUGAAGUGUGUCCUUACAGAUCAAUGCCCUUUGGCAUUAUUUUCUGAAAUAUGUGUGGCAAAUGUGUUUUUUUUCCUACAGUCUGAAAUUUAAUGUAAGAUCUCCCACUCCUGCUUGCCCAGCAAUUUGCUGGUGCAGGGACAUAUGGAAGCUAAAGGCUGGCUGGACCUGUUCGUUCCUUUCAUGCAGAUUUCCAGCUUCUGGAGUGGAAAUUCCAGCAGGAACAACUGAAUUAGCCUCUUUAUUCUUUUUAGGUUUCUUAUUUAUAGAUCCUGGAAGGGUGCUUGACUGAGAAUUGGUGUGUUCCCCUCCUUUGUAACCAGCCUCUUGCCCAUCUUAAAAUAACUCUUGCCCUGGAUUACAGGGGCUGGCAUUCAGUUACAUUGGUCUCUAGUGUUACAGACCAUCCACGGUCCCUCCGUGGCUCACGGGCACAGGGACUGAUCCCAUGCACAAUCCCAUGGAUGGGUUCUUUGGGCAGAGCUCAGGAGCCCAGAUUAUCCAGUCUUAAAGGCUGUUUCUUUGUGCAGCCAGGCCAGUGUAUCUCAGUGUCACCCAUUUAUCUUUAAGCAAAUGGUUUAUCUUAAGAAAAAAAUAGAUUAAACACACUUGUUCAUCUGGCUCUCCUGUACCAUUGCACAUAAAUAGCUGAAAAGUGCCAAUAAAACAACUGUUUUCUAAAUGACUGUGUCCGUA
ensembl:lncRNA